GGAUGUGUGUGUAUAAAUGAAAAAGUCUAUCCAGCCUCCGGUUUUCUUUUCCGCACGCCACACUCCUGACGUGGCCAACCGGUUCGGGGCACACGUCACGGUUUAUUGAAAUUGAGAAAUUGAAACCCGAGCUUCAUUCUCCCGCUUCAGUCUCCCUCCCUCUUCAUACCUCUCCCUCUUCAUACCUCUCACUCGAAGACUCUCGACUGGGUACCUUCAUUCUCAUUCUUCUCUCCCAUGCCUCUCAUUAUUUCAACUCCUCCUCCCUCUCACUCGGAGCUUCUUUCUCACCCCGACACCAAAACGCCAUUCUGCCUUGAACCCUAGAAAUCAGCCCCUUCAAUCUCGACACUCUUCUCCCUCAAACCUCUAACUUGAAGUCUAACCGAGCCACUGGACCGAUUCGUCCUCAAAGCCCCGAGCCGCUGCAAGAUUUGUCCUCAAAGGUACGCUUGUUUUAAGUCCCGAACCCUAGAAAAACUCAGCCCCUUUAGUCUCGACGCAGCACUCUCCCUCUUGUCCCUCUUGAACCUCUAACUCGAACCGGAUCUCUCACUCCUUCUCUUCUCUCUCACCCCUUCUCUGCUUCAGCCCCGAGCCAUUGGACCGAUUCGUCAAAGUCAAAAUUAAAUUUUUUAGGAAGACUAUCUCAU